AAAGGAGGGUGGGACUAGAGUAGUGAAUAGAGGCAGAGUAAAUUGGUGCAGCAACAAGCUGUGUUCAUAAAGAGCUGGGGUGAGCGCGGGUUUCCUGCCUCUGAGUCUUUUAUUUAAAUCGUCUUGACUGUGCAGCCUCCAGGUGUUGCUGAAGGGAAAUUUCCAUUAUGGGGUGAGAGAUUAUCUCCUUAGAGGCUUCUGAAAUGCUCAAUUCAGUGGUCCCCAAAUUUGCUGCCCACUGGAAUCACCUGGCCAUCUUUAAAAAUUACUGAUGCCUGGUUCCCAUCUCUCAGUAUUGUAAUUUACCAGGUGUGCUGACUUUUAAAGGAUGUUUGUGGUUUCAGAGAAAUCCCAGGACAUACAGAGAAACUUGAAAUUUCCAAGGAUGUGAACUGCAAGACAACCAUUGCUCAUCAGAUCUUGUCCUUGACAUUAUGGACAAGCUUCUUUCAAAGAAAGCUCUUUACCCAUGGGGAUAAGGGAGUUGAUGGAUAUAAGAAUCAUUUCUGGACUGUCACACACAGGCCAUGCAACCUCACCAAAUAAAUAGUUCUUUGUA
ensembl:lncRNA